GUGCCAGCAGCCGCGGUAAUACGUAGGCAGCAAGCGUUGUUCGGAGUUACUGGGCGUAAAGAGUAUGUAGGCGGUUGCGUAAGUUCGGUGUGAAAUCUCCCGGCUUAACUGGGAGGGUGCGCCGAAAACUGCGUGGCUUGAGUGCGGGAGAGGAGAGCGGAAUUCCUGGUGUAGCGGUGAAAUGCGUAGAUAUCAGGAGGAACACCGGCGGUGUAGACGGCUCUCUGGACCGUAACUGACGCUGAGAUACGAAAGCGUGGGUAGCAAACAGGAUUAGAUACCCUGGUAGUCC
rnacentral:rRNA from 1 species